rnacentral:rRNA from 1 species
AUUAUUACCGCGGCUCAGGAUGAACGCUAGCUACAGGCUUAACACAUGCAAGUCGAGGGGUAGCAGGGUAGCAAUACCGCUGACGACCGGCGCACGGGUGAGUAACACGUAUCCAACCUACCAUUCACACGGGGAUAGCCUCUCGAAAGAGGAGAUUAAUACCCGAUAGUAUAACGAUAAGGCAUCUUAUUGAUAUUAAAGAACCUCGGUGUCUGAUGGGGAUGCGUUCCAUUAGAUUGUUGGUGAGGUAACGGCUCACCAAGUCUUCGAUGGAUAGGGGUUCUGAGAGGAAGGUCCCCCACAUUGGAACUGAGACACGGUCCAAACUCCUACGGGAGGCAGCAGUGAGGAAUAUUGGUCAAUGGACGAGAGUCUGAACCAGCCAAGUAGCGUGAAGGAUGAAGGCCCUAUGGGUCGUAAACUUCACACUAUAGGGGAAUAAAGUGCGGAACGUGUUCCGCUUUGUAUGUACCCUACGAAUAAGGAUCGGCUAACUCCGUGCCAGCAGCCGCGGUAAUAAU